ACACCGGCAGCUCUAGUGGUAGCAGUUUUUAUUGGGCCUAAAGCGUCCGUAGCCGGUUUAAUAAGUCUCUGGUGAAAUCCUGUAGCUUAACUGUGGGAAUUGCUGGAGAUACUAUUAGACUUGAGACCGGGAGAGGUUAGAGGUACUCCCAGGGUAGAGGUGAAAUUCUGUAAUCCUGGGAGGACCGCCUGUUGCGAAGGCGUCUAACUGGAACGGUUCUGACGGUGAGGGACGAAAGUUAGGGGCGCGAACCGGAUUAGAUACCCGGGUAGUCCUAACUGUAAACGAUGCGGACUUGGUGUUGGGGUGGCUUUGAGCUGCUCCAGUGCCGAAGGGAAGCUGUUAAGUCCGCUGCCUGGGAAGUACGGUCGCAAGACUGAAACUUAAAGGAAUUGACGGGG
rnacentral:rRNA from 1 species